UUCAAUCCAGAUUAAUCAGUUACGUUUCUUUAAAAUUGGUGGCUAAUCCCCAACUCAAAGGAUUUAUCAUUAGGGUUCUAUUAAUUGGUGCUGAAUCCUAUCACACACUAAUUCAGUAUUUGGUUUCUUUAACAUUUGGAUUUUUCUUGAGAUUGAUUAUUGUACAAACUCAAUGUAUACUGUGUUUCUUCUCUUUCAGUAAUUUUUUUGCCUGUUCACUACUUUUGGUUCAUUAGCUCUCUGUGAUAUUGAUUCUAAGAUGCAGUAUUUUUGUAUGGCUGUUAGUGAAUGGAUUCUAAUUUUUGAUUUUGUUGGAUUUUUUUGAUUUAUUAAUUGUCAAAGUAGCAUUGUUUUUGUUGAUUUUUGUGUUAUUGAUUCUAAGAUUCAUUAGCUCUCUGUGUUAUUGAUUUUGUUGGAUUUCUUUUACAGUCGGCUCUCUCACAAAGUAGAAAAAUUAGAUUUUGGAGGUCGGAGAAGUUGGUAAUUCAUAUUAAUGAAUCAUGCUUCCAAUGUUCACUACACCAUCAGCACCAUCGUAGCCAGCUCCACCAUAUAAACAAGUUCACCACCAAGCUACACAACCAUUAUCAAUUUACUUCAGUCAAACUUUGGAUGCCAAAAUGAACAGAACAUCUCAUUCUAAGUGAACGAGUAGUUGAAGUAUUUCACAACGCUACCCUGCUUGCAUCACUUAUCCAUCAAUCCUGCAGAUAUGUCAAACAUUUAGUAGAAGAAUAUGCCAAAUGUGUUCUUUAUACUGUGGCUUUUUGAAGGCUCACUUAGGAAGAUGGGGAUAGCUGCAGAUAUGAUGGGAAUGUGACUUAAGCUUAUGAUGGGACUUUAGGUAUGGGAGAUGGACAAUUUGAGUUUUGAAGUAAACCAAAACGGUAGUGUGUUGGAGGCAGGACAUUGAUGAUGACUACUCAGUUCAGAGACAUGAUAUUAAGGGGUGGGGGGUAACUAUAUGUUUUGCAGGUUUUGCCGGAUCGAGGUGGCUUUUACUUUUACUUCAUUUUAUUUUUUUUAAUUUCCUUAAACUCAAUUUUAAGCUAUAUUAUGCAAUAAAUAUUUGGCAAUAAAAUGACAGAGUGGUGUUGUCUCAAGCGAAUGAAACAUGAUUUCAGCUUAUUUUUAGCUCUUCAAAGGAGGAAUCAUAGGGAUAGGAGAAGGUGGACGAGAUCGAGUUGGUCUGUUACACACUCUAGCAACACUGCUUGAGUCCACGGGAAGUGUUCUCAUUCAUGCACUGCUAGGAGUGAAAAUCUUACCUCUUGAAGACCAAAAGUAAGCGAUCCUGUCGGGGGUUAUCCAAAAUCGAAAGGUAAAAAGGUUUAAAGAUGGUAGUAACUCUUCUAUCCAAAUUACAGACUGAUUCUUGCAAGGGUGAUGACGACGAAUAAAUAUACUUACUCAAGAUACGGUGAUCUGGAUGAAUAAAGGCGGAGAUUGGACACCACAUUCCUCAAGAAAUGGCGUUUCCUACAGGAUGUUAACUAUUUUAUACUUACUCUGACAGUAGAUUUUGGUUCAGUCUGUAUAUCCAAUAAUCCCAAGUACCCAAGAGAACGUCUUUUGAUGAUUACAUGAACAUGGUUCAAAUGAUGCCUUCUUUUAUGUUGAAAAAUGUGGUCUAUCCCUUGGAUUAAAGGGAUCAGACUAAAUUGGUUACAUUAACGGUGCUUUGUAGUUCAUUUUUUCAAAUCUUAGUGAUCUGGAUGACAUCAUUUUGAAUAGUUCUGGUGGCUUAGAUUAUUAUCAAUAUCCACUUAUUUUAUUUUGUC